UUUCCCUUCGGGGACAAAAUGACAGGUGGUGCAUGGCUGUCGUCAGCUCGUGUCGUGAGAUGUUGGGUUAAGUCCCGCAACGAGCGCAACCCUUAUUGUCAGUUGCCAGCAUUAAGUUGGGCACUCUGGCGAGACUGCCGGUGAUAAACCGGAGGAAGGUGGGGAUGACGUCAAGUCAUCAUGCCCCUUAUGACCUGGGCUACACACGUGCUACAAUGGAUGGUACAACGAGUCGCAAACUCGCGAGGGCAAGCAAAUCUCUUAAAACCAUUCUCAGUUCGGAUUGUAGGCUGCAACUCGCCUACAUGAAGUCGGAAUCGCUAGUAAUCGCGAAUCAGCAUGUCGCGGUGAAUACGUUCCCGGGCCUUGUACACACCGCCCGUCACACCAUGAGAGUUUGUAACACCCAAAGCCGGUGGGGUAACCUUUUAGGAGCUAGCCGUCUAAGGUGGGACAGAUGAUUGGGGUGAAGUCGUAACAAGGUAGCCGUAGGAGAACCUGCGGCUGGAUCACCUCCUUU
rnacentral:rRNA from 1 species